GCUUGAGAUAGCUCAGUUUGUACAGCCUGAGACUCUUGACCUCAGAGUUGUGGGUUCGAUCCCCACAUUGGGCA